UACGGAUCAAGGACUGGAGAAAGACACACACAAGACGCACCAAACGAUUCUGAAAAAGAGAAAGCAAAUUUAUUGUACCCGUUUUCUUGGCAGAGCCCAAAUCUACUUUUCAGGAGAGAUGAAGGCAUUACCAUGAUCUGAUGAUUUUUAAUUCAAGCAUGAUCACCACUGAGAAGCAAAAGGAUACAACUUCACAUACUGGCUUCACACCCAGUGCAGAGCCCAUCGUGGGGCUUGAACUCACAACCCUGAGAUCGAGUCCUGAGCUGAGAUCAACAGACACUUAACCGACUGAGCCACCCAGGUGCCCCAUUAAUUACUAUUACUUUAUUCAGUAGUAGUGAAUAAUUACUAUUAUUUUAUUCAGCACUACUAUUUGUGGUUUUUUCUUUGCAUCUUCUAAUGUUGAGGUGGCAAAUUAUGUGUAGAUAAAAUGGCAGGGAACAAAAAAGUACAGUUGGCUUGACAUUCCCAAAUGAAUCCAGAGACUUUCAUAAACCCCUGAAUUCACAAAUCCCAUAUUCAUUUUCAUAGAACAGUAAAACAACAAUAGGAAAAUGCAGUGACUCUACCUCAAUUGUUGUGUGAAAUAAGACUGAACCCUAAGUUAUAAGCCCAAGAAAAUAAAUGCUGGCUGGGAUUUUUGCUGAA